CAUAAAGCCCAGGGUAGACUGUAUUUCCAGGUCCCUCAGAUGCAGUGCAAGAGGGGCAUAUGCCUCGGAGACUAUGUUCCCCAAGCAGCUUUGUGAGCCUUGGGAGACCAGCUCAGGAUGAAGCCUUGUCUUCUGUUAUCCAUUGCUGCCUAUCUGUCUAUUGUGCAGAUGAGGAAACUGAAGCCCUAUCGCAAGGUGAUGGCUCUGUUGAAUUCUAGAGACUGCAAAGAUGAAGAAACUAAGAAACUGUGGCACAAAUUAUUAACUAUACUGCCCAAGGUCAUACACUGGAAAUGGGUGGUGAAGAAAUCCAUUUGGUCUUUUUCAGCUUUGAGAACUUAAAAACUGUUUCCCUGCAUCACUUUUCCGAAUCUAACAGAGACUUCAAGCAUGGUUUAAGGGCAGAGAUGGCGCUGUGUGUUUGAUUGUUAAAGUGAAAAUGCAGACUGUGAGGAAAAUCAAGACUCCCAGAGCAUUUAAAAUGGAAUGGUAUUUUUCAUUUCCAUAUGAGAAAAUAUACGGAUUUAUUAAAAAAUUAUUUGUAAAAAUCCUAAUAAUGAGAUGUCAUGGAUAUUUUAUUUUGUUUUAUUAUAUAUAUUUUUUAAAUUAAAAAAACGUAGGUAGAGGCAGGUCUUGCUAUGUUGCUCAGGCUGGUUUUGAACUCCUGGGCUCAAGUGAUCUUCCUGCCUUGGCCUCUCAAAGUGCUGGGAUUACAGGCCUGAGCCACUGCACCCAACCUGCCAUGGCUAUUUUAGAGAUUAUUAAUUACUCUGUCAGUACUACUAAUUUCUACUCCUUUAUUUCAUAUGGCUUUAAAUAUAGUCUAGAAAAGACAAAAAAUGAGAAGGAUCAUUGCUUCUGCCCAUUUAGUCUCUUUCUUAGAAUCUACUUAUUUAUUUACUUAGUUUUCUAUUUAGUUACAAAAUUGAAGUGCACAUCGAAGCACACAAAAUAUAAGUAUAUAUAGCUCAAUACAUUUUUAUGUAUGUAUAUACUCAUGUAGCUACCAUCUAGAUCAAGAUAAAAAAGUCUGUACCACCUGAGAAACUCCCUCACGCUCCUUCCCUGUCCAUCCCUGGCCUUUGCCAGAAUUAACCACUAUUCUGAUUUUUAGCAUAAUCCCUUAGCUUUUUCUCUUUGUGGACUUCCUAUCAAUAGAAUCACACAGUAUUUCUCUUUUGUGUUUAGCUUCUUUCACUGCACAUGUCUAUGAGAUUCAUUCAUGUCGUUGCUUCUAUCAGUAGACUUUAAAAAUUUGUAGAUAGCAUUCCAUUAUCAGAGUAUAUCAGAAUUUAUCCAGUUUCUAGUUCAUGGGUAUCCAGAUUGUUUUCAGUAUUGACUUAUACAUAAAAAUGUUAAGGAUAUGUAUGUUGGCCAGGUGUAGUGGCUCAUGCCUGUAAUCCCAGCACUUUGGAAGAACAAGGCGGGUGGAUCACUUGAGGUCAGGAGUUCGAGACCAGCCUGACUGAACCUCAUCUCUACUAAAAAUACAAAAAUUAGCCAGGUGUGAUGGUGCACACUUGUAAUCCCAGCUACUUGGGAGGCUGAGGCAGGAGAAUCACUGCAGGAGAAUCACUUGAAUCCUGAAGGUGAAGGUUGCAGUGAGCCGAGAAUGCACUACUGCACUCCAGCCUGGGUGAUGGAGUGAGACUGUGUCUCAAAAACAAAAACAAAAGCACCCCAACCCCCCCGACCCAAAAAAAACAGAAAAUCAAAAAACUUUGGCAUAUGUCUUUUAAUUGGCAGAAGCACUAAUUUCUCUUUAGUGUAUGCCCAGAAGUGGAAUUGAUGGAUCAUAAGAUAUGUUUAAUUUUAGUGGUUAUUGUCAAACUGUUUUCUAAAAUGGCUGAACUCUCAGCAAUAAUGUACAUAAAAGAGCUACAGUUGCUCUCUAUCCUGACCAAUACUUUGUAGCUCAGUCUUUUUAAUUUUACCCAUUCUGGUGGCUGUGUGGUGGUAUCUCACUGUGGUUUGAACUUGCAUUUCCCUGGUCAAAGAUGAUGUUGACCAACUUUUCAUAUGCUUAUAGGCCAAUUGGAUACUUUGUAACGUGAAGUUCCUAACCUUUGCGCAUUUUUAUUUUUGUUGUCUUUUUCUUAUUGAUUUGUAGAAGUUCUUUAUGUCUUCUUUUUUAAAAAUUUAAUUUUGUUUAAAAAUUAUUAUUUAUUUGUCAUUGAGACAUAAUAGAUGUACAUAUUUUCAGAGUACCUGUGAUAAUUUAAUACAUCUGUAUAAUUUGCAAAGAUCAAAUCAGUGUAAUUGGGAUAGCCAUCAUCUUAAAUAUUUGUCAUUUUUUAUGCUAGGAAUAUUCAAAUUAUUCUCUUUCAGCUAUUUUGAAAUAUGCAAUAGAUUAUUGUAAACUACAGUCACCCUAAUCACCCUGUUGAUCUAUUAAACACUGUCUUAAAUAUAUUCUUGAUAUGAAUCCUUUUUUGUACUAUGUAUUACCAAAUUUUCUCACAUUCUGUGGCUUUUUUGUUUACUAUCUUUAUAGUGAAGAACAGAAAUUAAU
rnacentral:lncRNA from 1 species